rnacentral:rRNA from 1 species
GUGUCAGCCGCCGCGGUAAUACGAAGGGGGCUAGCGUUGUUCGGAUUUACUGGGCGUAAAGCGCACGUAGGCGGAUUGUUAAGUUAGGGGUGAAAUCCCAGGGCUCAACCCUGGAACUGCCUUUAAUACUGGCAAUCUAGAGUCCGGAAGAGGUGAGUGGAACUCCUAGUGUAGAGGUGGAAUUCGUAGAUAUUAGGAAGAACACCAGUGGCGAAGGCGGCUCACUGGUCCGGUACUGACGCUGAGGUGCGAAAGCGUGGGGAGCAAACAGGAUUAGAUCCCCUGGUAGUCCACGCCGUAAACUAUGAGAGCUAGCCGUUGGGAUGUUUACAUCUCAGUGGCGCAGCUAACGCAUUAAGCUCUCCGCCUGGGGAGUACGGUCGCAAGAUUAAAACUCAAAGGAAUUGGCGG